rnacentral:rRNA from 1 species
GGGAACGUGCCUUUAGGUUCGGAAUAGCUCCUGGAAACGGGUGGUAAUGCCGAAUGUGCCCUUCGGGGGAAAGAUUUAUCGCCUUUAGAGCGGCCCGCGUCUGAUUAGCUAGUUGGUGAGGUAAUGGCUCACCAAGGCGACGAUCAGUAGCUGGUCUGAGAGGAUGACCAGCCACACUGGGACUGAGACACGGCCCAGACUCCUACGGGAGGCAGCAGUGGGGAAUCUUGCGCAAUGGGCGAAAGCCUGACGCAGCCAUGCCGCGUGAAUGAUGAAGGUCUUAGGAUUGUAAAAUUCUUUCACCGGGGACGAUAAUGACGGUACCCGGAGAAGAAGCCCCGGCUAACUUCGUGCCAGCAGCCGCGGUAAUACGAAGGGGGCUAGCGUUGCUCGGAAUUACUGGGCGUAAAGGGCGCGUAGGCGGAUCGUUAAGUCAGAGGUGAAAUCCCGGAGCUCAACUUCGGAACUGCCUUUGAUACUGGCGAUCUUGAGUGUGAGAGAGGUAUGUGGAACUCCGAGU